AUGGCCGCCACCGGCACCGCCACCAGGCAGCAGCAGCCGGCGGCGGCGGUGGUCGUGGACCCCAAGUUCGAGUGGGCGGAGAAGGCCGGCGCCUACGUGCUCCGCCUCACCCUGACCGGCUUCCGGAAGGACGACUUCCGCGUGCAGGUGGACGGCGCCGGGAGGCUCACCGUGCGCGGCACCAGGCCGGGCGCCUCCCUCCACAAGGUCUUCCAGCUGCCCGCGACCGCCUGCCUCGACGACAUCGCCGGCCGCUUCGAGGCCGGCGUGCUCACGCUCACCGUGCCCAAGCGCGCCGGCAUGCCCGCCGCCAAGCCGACGCCAGCCGCAGAGGUCGAUGGCGCCAAGAAGAUGACCGGGGAGGAGGGUGCUGCUGCUGCCAAGCUGACGCCACAAGCAGAGGCGCCGGCGGCGAAGAAGGAAGAAGAAGUGAAGCCCAAGGCACCCCAGCCAGCAGCAGCCGCGCCGACACCGGACAACCCCGCGCCGAAGGCAGAGGUUGCCAACGGCGAGAAGGCCAAGGCGGCGGUUGACCCGGAGACGACGAGGCGGCGCGGCGAGGAGGCGACGGCCAUGGAAGCAAAAGCGGAGCAGGCGAAGAAGGCGGUGGCGUCGACAUGCACGGCCUGGAAGGAGCGCAUCGCCGGGGAGCUCAAGGGGCUGGCGGACAUGAAGUGGGCGGACAACGCGGUGGAGACGGCGAGGAAGAACAAGGAGGUGGUCGCCGUCGGCGUCGCCGCCUUCUCCAUCGGCUUCCUCGUCGCCCAUAAGCUCUUCAGGAAGUGA
rnacentral:rRNA from 1 species